rnacentral:rRNA from 1 species
AGUCGAGGGGCAGCGAGUAGAUUGCUUGCAAUCUACGUCGGCGACCGGCGCACGGGUGCGUAACGCGUAUGCAACCUACCCAUUACAGGGGGAUAACACUGAGAAAUCGGUACUAAUACCCCAUAACAUCCAGGGAGGCAUCUUCUUGGGUUGAAAACUCCGGUGGUAAUGGAUGGGCAUGCGUUGUAUUAGUUAGUUGGUGGGGUAACGGCUCACCAAGACGACGAUACAUAGGGGGACUGAGAGGUUAACCCCCCACAUUGGUACUGAGACACGGACCAAACUCCUACGGGAGGCAGCAGUGAGGAAUAUUGGUCAAUGGACGCAAGUCUGAACCAGCCAUGCCGCGUGCAGGAAGACGGCUCUAUGAGUUGUAAACUGCUUUUGUACGAGGGUAAACGCAGAUACGUGUAUCUGUCUGAAAGUAUCGUACGAAUAAGGAUCGGCUAACUCCGUGCCAGCAGCCGCGGUAAUACGGAGGAUUCAAGCGUUAUCCGGAUUUAUUGGGUUUAAAGGGUGCGUAGGCGGUCGGAUAAGUUAGAGGUGAAAUCCCGGGGCUCAACUUCGGAAUUGCCUCUGAUACUGUUCGGCUAGAGAGUAGUUGCGGUAGGCGGAAUGUAUGGUGUAGCGGUGAAAUGCUUAGAGAUCAUACAGAACACCGAUUGCGAAGGCAGCUUACCAAGCUACUUCUGACGUUGAGGCACGAAAGCGUGGGGAGCAAACAGGAUUAGAUACCCUGGUAGUCCACGCAGUAAACGAUGAUAACUCGUUGUCGGCGA